rnacentral:snRNA from 1 species
UAACCUAGAACCCACAAAGGG